GCAUCAUGAUUUACAUUUGAGUGAGUGGCGAACUGGUGAGUAACACGUGGGAAACCUGCCCAGAAGCGGGGGAUAACACCUGGAAACAGAUGCUAAUACCGCAUAACAACUUGGACCGCAUGGUCCGAGUUUGAAAGAUGGCUUCGGCUAUCACUUUUGGAUGGUCCCGCGGCGUAUUAGCUAGAUGGUGRGGUAACGGCUCACCAUGGCAAUGAUACGUAGCCGACCUGAGAGGGUAAUCGGCCACAUUGGGACUGAGACACGGCCCAAACUCCUACGGGAGGCAGCAGUAGGGAAUCUUCCACAAUGGACGAAAGUCUGAUGGAGCAACGCCGCGUGAGUGAAGAAGGGUUUCGGCUCGUAAAACUCUGUUGUUAAAGAAGAACAUAUCUGAGAGUAACUGUUCAGGUAUUGACGGUAUUUAACCAGAAAGCCACGGCUAACUACGUGCCAGCAGCCGCGGUAAUACGUAGGUGGCAAGCGUUGUCCGGAUUUAUUGGGCGUAAAGCGAGCGCAGGCGGUUUUUUAAGUCUGAUGUGAAAGCCUUCGGCUCAACCGAAGAAGUGCAUCGGAAACUGGGAAACUUGAGUGCAGAAGAGGACAGUGGAACUCCAUGUGUAGCGGUGAAAUGCGUAGAUAUAUGGAAGAACACCAGUGGCGAAGGCGGCUGUCUGGUCUGUAACUGACGCUGAGGCUCGAAAGUAUGGGUAGCAAACAGGAUUAGAUACCCUGGUAGUCCAUACCGUAAACGAUGAAUGCUAAGUGUUGGAGGGUUUCCGCCCUUCAGUGCUGCAGCUAACGCAUUAAGCAUUCCGCCUGGGGAGUACGGCCGCAAGGCUGAAACUCAAAGGAAUUGACGGGGGCCCGCACAAGCGGUGGAGCAUGUGGUUUAAUUCGAAGCUACGCGAAGAACCUUACCAGGUCUUGACAUACUAUGCAAAUCUAAGAGAUUAGACGUUCCCUUCGGGGACAUGGAUACAGGUGGUGCAUGGUUGUCGUCAGCUCGUGUCGUGAGAUGUUGGGUUAAGUCCCGCAACGAGCGCAACCCUUAUUAUCAGUUGCCAGCAUUAAGUUGGGCACUCUGGUGARACUGCCGGUGACAAACCGGAGGAAGGUGGGGAUGACGUCAAAUCAUCAUGCCCCUUAUGACCUGGGC
rnacentral:rRNA from 1 species